rnacentral:lncRNA from 1 species
UUUUUUUUUUAUGAUUUCAAGAAAAAAACUGAAUAACUUACUUGAGAAACACCAGGCCUGCAAGAAAAACUACAGUUUAUGUCUUUGUGUUAUGAUGAUCUUGGUUUGUUAAUCGUCAAAAGUUUUUCAAAUAUGAACACAAAUAGGUCUGGUUUCCUUAAGCCUUACCGUUGGAGAAAAAUACUUUGAAACUAAUUAUUGCAUUGGGUCAAAAUUUGAGCUUUUUACUAAUAGGAUGUAGACCUUGUGCAUCCUGGUGUCUAAAGUGUUCUGUCUUGCAUCUACAAUGUGACUGAUCUAUUUGUUAAUGUAUAAAGCUUUCAAAUAAUAUUCACUAAUUGUUCAUUUUCAUCAAAUAAUUUAUUAAUGUUUAUACCACAAUGUAGCCACACUUACAACAAACAAAUCA